rnacentral:rRNA from 1 species
CAGAGGGGGCAAGCGUUGUUCGGAAUUACUGGGCGUAAAGGGCGCGUAGGCGGCCUGCUAAGUCGAACGUGAAAUCCCUGGGCUCAACCCAGGAACUGCGUCCGAGACUGGUUGGCUUGAAUCCGGGAGAGGGAUGUGGAAUUCCAGGUGUAGCGGUGAAAUGCGUAGAUAUCUGGAGGAACACCGGUGGCGAAGGCGGCAUCCUGGACCGGUAUUGACGCUGAUGCGCGAAAGCCAGGGGAGCAAACGGGAUUAGAUACCCCGGUAGUCCUGGCCCUAAACGAUGAAUGCUUGGUGUGGCGGGUAUCGAUCCCUGCCGUGCCGAAGCUAACGCAUUAAGCAUUCCGCCUGGGGAGUACGGUCGCAAGGCUG